rnacentral:rRNA from 1 species
ACGUAGGGGGCGAGCGUUAUCCGGAAUUAUUGGGCGUAAAGAGUGCGUAGGUGGUUCUUUAAGCGUGAGGUGAAAGGCAAUGACUUAACUAUUGUAAGCCUUGCGAACUGGAGAACUUGAGUGCAGGAGAGGUAAGUGGAAUUCCUAGUGUAGCGGUGAAAUGAGUAGAUAUUAGGAGGAACACCAGUGGCUAAGGCGACUUACUGGACUGUAACUGACACUGAGGCACUAAAGCGUGGUGAGCAAACAG